GCACUACUGAGGAGUCCCACAAUGGGAUGAAAUGGCCAUCCAGUAC
rfam:Schistosoma mansoni, Puerto Rico, WGS project CABG01000000 data, contig: 0174